UCGUCUCAUCGUUUAAUAGAGAGCGAGCGUAUUCACAUUCGUAUACACGUCCAUAUACGAAUUUAUGCAUUUGCUUGUACGAGAAUUUUAACUACACGCGUCCACGCAGCUCGUGGGGAUGCCAUGAAAAUAGCCUCGUUGACUAAACAAUUGACGUUGAAACUUCUCGCGAUCGUUCGACAUUCGAAAAUAAUUUUUCGAAGGCCCGAAGAAUUAUUCGUUCCAUCGAAAUGUUUUUAGACCACUGGACGUUUGUUCUCUGUUAAAAAUUCAGAAGAAAGUUUAAAAAAUAUUUACGCACAUUAUUUCAGUAUCGAUCGUCAUUGUUUUAACUGCCUUCUAGGAACAAAGAAAUGGGCUAUCGGACAGCGGAUCAAAAGCAGAGCGGCUCGAUAUUCACAAUCGGAGAAAAUCGAAGAAAAUACGAAGCUGCGUUCGCGAGCAUCGGGAUGAGCAACAAAUUAUUGGUGCGCGAGGCUCGUGGGUAUGAAAAAUCGGCGAGAGAUCCACCGAGACGAGGAUUCGUGAAGUCUACCAAAGAAUCUUGGCAGAGAAAAACCAAGAAAGAUUGCAGAAGCGACUGCGUGCGGUGCAUUUUAUCCCAUCGAAGCCAAUUCCCUCUCUCUCUCCAUCACGUGAAAAAUUGCAGCCUUUUUGCUUCCCGGAGAACGAGAAUUUGAAAACGACGAGCUCCAAGAGUCCACGCGCAGACUGACCAUUUUAUGGAAAGGUGGUAUUUAGUACCGACGAAAUAAUGCAAUUAUCAAAUUAACCCUCACACCGAUCUCCACUCGAGCUACGUCGUGUGUGUUCGUACGUUUACGCGGGCACACGUAUUCCUCGCUGCACACCAUUUCCACAUGCAAAAAUGAAAAUAUACACGCACGCAAUUUCUUUAUACACAGGGACGUGCGUGUGUAGACGCGAAACGAGAACGGUGCGGGCGAGAGGACCAACGAGUACGACUCUUUCCCUCGCUUUAAGUGGAUAAUUAUUGGGAUGUAGAGGGGGGCGUCCCUUUACCGGGUUGCGAUCUACGAGAGGUCAAGCGGUCAGUAUUCGGCGAUGUUCGCCGCCACGAAUUUGGAGCGUUCGAUAUCGCCCCAACGCUUGGCCCUGGCCACCUCCUUUAUCUCGUCGCUUCGCACGGGGCGACUAAUGUGAGCUUGCCAACGAAACUGAAGCUGGACGAUCAGUCGCUAAGAAAAAAGAAGAAAAAGCUAACCAACAAGCAGAAAAGGAGAAGUCGAGCCAAAUACGAAGGAUGAAAACGAGGAGGCUGGGAGCUUCGGAGGAAGAAGACGGAAGAAGGAGGAGAGAACCCUCUGGGACUCCGUGGGAAGACUCUCGACUUUGUGAACGAGAACCUGAUGUGAGAUCACGUACACGUACCCGAACACAGAUUCGUCGAGUCGUUCUCGGAGUCGAUUCCAAGGGAAAUGUUUGACGAGCGAUGCGAGUGGAGAAUAAUCAAAGUCGUCUCUAGGGAUGGUUGUAAUACCCUCGUUCUCUGGGGAUGAAGCAGUCGUUCGUGGGGUUAGAACUGUGCGAGACGACCACGAGAGGCGAUUGAGAAGCAUUUCGCAUACCAUUUGAACAGUUUUGGAGUCCAUUUUACUUUUUUAACGACUUGAAACCUACUUACACGAGGCCCGAGAUAUUUUUCGAGUUCGUACAUGCCUCCUAAAAAACUAAAAAUAAUGUUUUUCAAGACUACAUUGUUGAGCCACGGUUACGAUCGGUUCUGCAGCCUGAGAGUUUCACUGUGAUCGUUAUGGACGUUGCGAUCGAACAAUUAGAAAAGCGAUCGAGGGAAGGGAACUGAGAAGCAGCCCCCUACGUUUUGGAGUUCUAGAGCCGAAAGAAGUUGUCCCAACACUCGAAACACCGGCUCUCUUCGAUGACGCGUUUCUCGAGUGCAUAUUGGAAUAAUAACGCACGACCCUACAUUCUCCGAGCUACAUGGGUCUCUGGAAUAACAAUCGUUUUUGGCCAUUAUCUCGAGACAGAAACUAAUAUGUGUUCAAGUUAAUUGGCGGGGCGUUUGAAACCUUCACUCGAUAAAACGAUCGUCGAAUCGUCAUUGUAAUUUAGCAGAUUUCGAUGGAAGACCGAACCCGAAAUCGGAGACGUCGAGUCAUUCGGAAGUUUUUAUACCGAGAAUUGUGCGUCGGAAAUUUUGAUGACAAAUGAAUGGGAGUUUCGGAGGAAUUUUUUGCGAGAAGCAGCGUGAAAACCAACAAACAUCGAUAGAAGUUUGCUUAUUUAACUUAGAAUGGCCAAUGCAUUCUGCCACGUGAAGAAGAAUGAUUUUGCAGAAAAACGCGAAAGAGAACGAAUCGACGGGUGCGGUUCGAUGAUCGUUGACUGGAAAAUUGAGAACUCGUUGCGGAUCAUCUCAGUGUGGAUCGCUCGAGAAAAAGAGCUCCGAUGCAAGAUCUGUCGGUUGUUUUAGUUUCUAUGUGUUUUUAGAAUUUCGUGCCGCACAUUAAAACGUGUCUGUAACCCCGACAAUGCUGCAUAUUAAAGGAGCGAAGAAUUUCAAGAUUUCGGUCCUUCUCGGUGGCGAGCCUGGUGAACAAUGUUUCCACGUUUGUAUAUGGCAACGAAACUGGGGCGUUGGAUAUUUCUUUUAAACUUUGGAGCGCGCACGAUAAAUUCCAUAUUCCUAUCUUCGUCUCGUGGGACGCGAAAGGACGAGAAAAUUCGUGCGUGCGAGCAGGUUCACGUAAUAUUUAUGAAGAAGAAGGCCGAGAGGACCCGAAAAACGGACUGAUGGGCGUCGACGAUCGCGAGAAAGCCUUCCUCGAGUCUUCCAAAAGUAGCUCUUCACCCUCUAUCAUUCUCUCCCUUCUCUUUCUCUCAUGAAACGCGCAUUAUACGCGCGCGAGAGAGAAAUUGAGAUGUCCGGCGGUCCCUCACGGAGAUCGGAGAUGCUGGCCCAUAUAUACAGAUACAUAAAUGCAUGUCUAUGAGUCCUGGGUGCGAUGAUUAAUGCAGACCAAUAUCCGUGGGUGGCCCCCCGAAAAAGAGCCCGUAGAGACUCCGAUGACUCUCGCUGAAAAUCAUCUCAAUUCCAAAUUUAUUGUCCUUAGCAGCGGGGAACGAAAAACGUGUGUGCACUCAUCGCCGUGUCAUCGAGAUUUUACGGAAAUAAAAAAUAAAAACCUGGAGGAGUGAAUGACGGACGAUUUCACUGUGUUUUUGUGCAGGUUUCGCGGCGUGAGAUCGGGCUUGUGUCGAGCCUCCGAACUCUGAAUCCUUUUUUUGAAAUCCGUGAAAAGGAUUCGACGAAAAGAUCGACGGAGCAUCAGAGAAACUAUAAAACUCUGCGGCGAACGGGAAGAAACUUUAAAACUCACAUGAGUUCGAUUCGAUGGAACGUCCGAAAUUGUAAUUUAGCGAUUGGAGUCUUCUUGAAGAAAGGUUUUGUGUCAUCGGCUUGGAGAUUUCGAUACACAUCUGUAGCCCCUGGAUGUUGAGUGAAAAAUUUCGUAAGGCGAUAUUUUCUCAACGAAUUUUGUUUCGAUGAAUCGAGUUUGACGAGUUUACGUUUUGAUGGGAAUGAGAAAUUUCUGAUCGAUCCGAAUCCUUUUUGUAUCGAGACAACAUCUUUGACUUUUCAACGAAAACGACGAAUCUGAAGUUCUCAGUUGGGUCAUCGAGGGUGAGAAAAAAUGUUACGAUCUUCAGAAAUACGGCCACACUUUCCAACCCGAUCUCAUCAAUGCAGCGUGGAAAAUCUCGUGCUCACAAUCGUGAGAACAUUUGCAGCGCGUCAUCUCUACGAGAAUAACAUUUUUUCGUGACUCUUGAACAAUUAUUUGGGAAAUUGAUGAUGGGCCCACACUUUUUUCACGCUUAUCUGGCACUCUGUUUCUUUGAAAGAUUUUCACACCGAUCUCGUUCAGUUAUCUUAGUCACUCUGUUCCUUAGAUCAUUCUUGAUGGGAACUGAAACUAUCAUAUUUGAAGCAACGUUGAAAGUUGAAAGCAACGUUUUGCAGGAAUUAAGUAAUUUGUUUCUAAAUAAUCAUUCCCGAGCUUCGUUAUCAAUCUUUAGAUUUUCAUUAGUUUUUUGAACACUGAAAUUUUUCACUGAAUUACGAGAAUUCGGCUGGCAAAUAUUUAAUCAACGAAUAGCAAUAUUUCCAUACAAAUUGUUGUAAAUCUUUGGUGUUUUCGAGCCCUCGAGAAAUAUCGAGCAAUAAAAAUUGUAGGGAUAUCACGAUGCGAUCAGAAUUAUUCAGUGAAGAUUUUCGGAGGAUUCGUAUGCAAAUAGCAAAAGAAAGAAAUGACCGAGACCCUUUCCCGGGACACGAGACACGUCUAAUGGUAUACGUAUAUUAUGUCAAAAGAGGGAAAAAACGGACAAAGGGCUCGCGCGCGCGACCGAUCUUUCCACAGGAUAGUGUAGAAAGGUGGGGUUGAAUUCUCUUCGGAAGUGAAAAAUCUACGAAGCACUUUUCGUCGAAAGUUUCAAUCUGAUUAUGUGGUCCAUCAGUGGAUAAAAAAAGGAAACAAAGGAACGCGCCAAAAGGGACCCUGAAGAGGCUUAUGCGAAUUUAUAGCCCUUUAUGUACAUAAACACUGGAAGACAAAAAAAAAGUAGGAAAAGCUGACGAGAAAGCCAACAGCCAUUAUUAGACACGAAAAAAUGUUCUUUCUAUGUUUUCGACAUCACGGAUUAGUUGAAACAAGCUUCAAUGGAGUGCAGACCAUAAUUUGAGCCUGUGAAUCGAGUUGGCUGGGAAUGUGCUCGCUUAUAUUUUCCAUUUUUGACCUUCCAGUAGUGCAGCAUAUGUGGAAAAUACUGCAAGUAAUUUGGAAUAUCGAAACUUCCCAGGUUCUCUGUAACUACUGAUGCCAUCUCCGUUUCAAUGACUCAAACUCAAACUUUAGGAUGAGCCGCUUUGUUGUUAUCUAUAUCGCGACAGGCAGAAAGAAGCAUUUUUCGGUAUAAGAAUCCUAUCAAGUUCGAUCACUCAAACUAUUGUGCUAAAUUCAUAUACAAAUCGUUUAAAAUAUCCAAUAGUGUUAUCACUUUAUGGCUUCGCGUUAAUUUAUUAAUCACUUCAAAAAUAAAAGAUGCUUUUUCAUACUUAAGGUUAGGAUACUACGUGAUGCUUUUUUGGUAUACGGAUGA